rnacentral:lncRNA from 1 species
AACAUUUUGAUUUUUUAUUAAAAGAAUAAAUUCAGUCUCUGCUUUUACUCUUGUUUUACCUCCCAGAAUUGUAUGUUUAUUUAUAUUUUCUCUAACUUUUCAGCCAUGAUGUCUGAGAGACAUUUCAAAAUUGGCCUUCAACACUAAAUGCUUCUAUAGUACGUUUGCCCACGACGAUGCAGUUUGUUUAUAAAUUACAAUGGAAAACACGC